GAUGAAGAACGUAGCGAAAUGCGAUACUUGGUGUGAAUUGCAGAAUCCCGUGAACCAUCGAGUCUUUGAACGCAAGUUGCGCCCGAAGCCAUUAGGCCGAGGGCACGCCUGCCUGGGCGUCACACGUCGUUGCCCCCCCAUCUACUCCUUCGGGAUUGCGGGGGGCGGAUGAUGGCCUCUCGUGCGCCUCGUCGCGCGGUUGGCCUAAAUGCCAAGUCCUCGGCGACGCACGCCACGACAAUCGGUGGUUGCGAAACCUCGGUUGCCUGUCGUGUGCGGUCGUCGCGCAUCGAGGGCUCGAAAAAAUUGCCGGGCUUCGGCUCGGCUUUCAACGCGACCCCAGGUCAGGCGGGGUUACCCGCUGAAUUUAAGCAUAUCAAUAAGCGGAGGA
rnacentral:misc_RNA from 1 species